AUGAAGAAUCCAACAAACAUGAGGGUGGUUUCGAUAAUAACAUUUUAGAUAACUCGAGCCAACCAUCACCACCUUCUGGAAAUAAACCCGGUGUGUCUCUUGAUGCCCCAGUUGGGGGGGAGUCUACAUCUGAUACCUACAGCAUUGCAAGAAAAUAGGUUUUGGAGGAAAAAUUGAGGUUGAAGAAUAGAAAUCUACUUAGUUAGUAACCCACGAGUUGAUUCAAAACUUGAGGGUGGGACCUACAAUUCGUGAGUGGGCCUGUGACUUGAGUUCUAAAGUUGAAAAAAAAAUUCUGAUUACUAUUAUAUGAACCAAGACUUAUGACUUCUACCCACAACUCAUGGGUAGUAUUUGCGUUUCAAGUACUGAAGAUUGAACCUGAGCAUGAUUUCCAUGAUUUAGAGCAAAGACGAAUUAAUCUGAUCUGUUACUCAACCCAUGAGUCGUAAGGUGCUGCCGACCUGAUUUUCCUAUACAAUUUAUGAUAGCAUUCAUGUUAUAUAUAUUAGUACUCCUAUUAUGUUUUAUGAAUAGUCUACAUAUGGAAUUAUUUUUAGGUUUUUAGACACAUUAUUAAUCGAUGAACUCUUGAUAUUAGUUUUUUAAGGUUUAAAUCAAUUUAAGAUUUAUGGUUUUUCAUUUUA